GGGGAGGAAAGGCCUCUAAGCUGAUAGUCACACUCCUUGUAUUUCUAACUCCCCUCUACUGGGAGAUGCGCUGAGGUGGGUGGAACUUGAGUGUUUUAGAUAGUUUCAGGUCUCACUGUCCAGGAGAAAAGCACAGACAGCCUACCUUUCCCAACAUACACACCCACACCUCUGCAGUAUUCACUAGUCGCUGGUAGAAGUGCAGGGACUGUGGACAAAAGAGAAUGGAAGUAAAUUUUAGCUUACUCUUCUGCUUCACCCAGGAAAAAGGUUUAUGAGUAUAAGCAUAGACGUAAAUGAGAUAUUUCUUGCUGUUUGGUGCCUACCUCAUCACUCUCUUCUCCCCUUAACUGCCACCCG
rnacentral:lncRNA from 1 species